GCAGCGACGCCGCGUGGGGGAUGACGGCCUUCGGGUUGUAAACCUCUUUCAGCAGGAAGAAGCGAAAGUGACGGUACCUGCAGAAGAAGCACCGGCCAACUACGUGCCAGCAGCCGCGGUGAUACGUAGGGUGCGAGCGUUGUCCGGAUUUAUUGGGCGUAAAGGGCUCGUAGGUGGUUGAUCGCGUCGGAAGUGUAAUCUUGGGGCUUAACCCUGAGCGUGCUUUCGAUACGGGUUGACUUGAGGAAGGUAGGGGAGAAUGGAAUUCCUGGUGGAGCGGUGGAAUGCGCAGAUAUCAGGAGGAACACCAGUGGCGAAGG
rnacentral:rRNA from 1 species